CGCAGCCGCGGUAAUUCCAGCUCCAAUAGCGUAUAUUAAAGUUGUUGCAGUUAAAAAGCUCGUAGUUGAAUUUCGGGGUCAGUAGGAUGGUCGUGCCAAUGGUAUGUACUGGCUUUACUGAUUCCUCCUUCUUGAAGAACUGUAAUGCCAUUAAUUUGGUGUUGCAGGGAAUCAGGACUGUUACUUUGAAAAAAUUAGAGUGUUUAAAGCAGGCUUACGCUUGAAUACAUUAGCAUGGAAUAAUGAAAUAGGACGUUGAUCUUAUUUUGUUGGUUUCUAGGAUUGACGUAAUGAUUAAUAGGGAUAGUUGGGGGCAUUAGUAUUCAAUUGUCAGAGGUGAAAUUCUUGGAUUUAUUGAAGACUAACUACUGCGAAAGCAUUUGCCAAGGAUGUUUUCAUUAAUCAAGAACGAAAGUUAGGGGAUCGAAGACGAUCAGAUACCGUCGUAGU
rnacentral:rRNA from 1 species